rnacentral:lncRNA from 1 species
CUGAAGGGGCAACUUUUAUUUAAUAUCGGCCUGAGCCCUCUCAACCUUGCCGAUAUUUUUUUUUUUUGCUCAAGUCAUUCGCUGCUUUCUCUUUUCUCUUAUUCUGUUUCUAAGCUGUGCCGAUCUUUUUUCAUUGCAGAUAUGGACGCAGACGCAGCUCGGAUACUAGCCAAGGGUCUCAAGGCCCACAAGAGGAAAGGCGUCACAACUUCAGGGU